rnacentral:tRNA from 1 species
GCGGGCGUGGUGGAAUUGGUAGACGCGCCGGACUCAAAAUCCGGUUCCGCAAGGAGUGCCGGUUCGACCCCGGCCGCCCGCACCA